GUGGGAGGGGGCUUGCUCCCGAUAGCAGUGUGUCAGUCAGCUCGUCUGUAGCUGAUACACCGCUUUCGGGAGCAAGCCCCCUCCCAC
rnacentral:misc_RNA from 1 species